GUUUGGAAACAGCAAUGUUUGCUUUUGAAGGGCACUGGGGUGUACGCUGCACUUAAAGGAGGACCGCUGAGUAUUUUCUUAACAGAAGAGCAAAUAUUUACGUCUUAGGAACUAAAGGGCAGUUUGGCGUGUGUGGGAUAUUGACUCUCAACUGGGGGUGGGCAGGGAAACAAACCCUUGGCUGUCUUUGGCCUCACUCAGCCCAAACGAGCGGAGACGUCUCCCUCAGUCUAGGGGCCACCUGGGCCUCUAUCCACCUGCAGAGAGAGAAGGAGGGCCGAGUCGGCUGUGCCGGCGACGACUCCUCACCUUGGGGUGACUGAGCAACCCUCGACCAACCCCUCCUGACCACCACCUUCCGCAGCGGGGGCGGUGGGUCCUUCCUUCUCUCUGGCUUUUGCUGUGCCUGAGGGCAGAAACCCUUGCGUGGUCCCCCCUCCAGACCUGUCCACACUUGCAGGUGAUGGCCACCAGCCCGGCCACGUGGGGAGCAUGACUGCCAGCCUGCUGUGCGUCGGUAAAUGCAGCCUGGGUCAAAGGGUCAGGUUAUUAAAGGUAAACACACACACCCUCCAAGGCUAGUGCAGCGGGGAGGCAGCGGGAGGAGCUGCGGGGGAGCCCACGGAGAGAAUGGAGCCUCCUAAGGACCCCCAGCACCCACUUCCUGGGGGGUGAGCUGCAGCCAGAGCCCCUGGGUUCGCCCAAGCCCAGGAUCUGCCUUUGGGGCCCUCUGACACCAGCCCUGCCCAGGAGUGCUCUGCCCAGGAGUGCCAGCCCAGCCCUGCUGUGGGAGCACGUGGGGCUCUCUGGGGAGCAGGCUGGCCCUGACCCCAGCAGGAGAUGCAGUUCAGGGACCUCCCCAGAUGGGGGUGUCCUGCCGAGGUGCACCUGCCUGUCUGCUGGUGGCUUGGCUUCCUAACCCCAUGGCAAUCCUGCUGCACGCUUCUGGAAGUUUCCACCAGCAAUCCCGUGAGCUCUGGGUCUGCACUUCAGCUAUCUGCAUGGAAAAGGACACCUGCUUUCUCUGACCGCCUGGUGAACUUGGGCUGUGCACACAGAGGGGUGUCUCCACACAGCAGAGCGUCAUGUCCACCGUGUCCCGUGACUGUCUGCCUCACGUAUCGGAGAAAGGUGGCUGGAGCCAGUUCUCACCUCGGGCUGCCUGUCGGGGGCAAAGGUGCCCUGGAGGGGCCUCACAUCAUUGUCCUCAACCCGUCUUGUCCCGCCCACCUGGACGCACCCUGACCCUGAACAGCUGCCCCAUUGUCAGCCCCCAGGUGGCCAUUCUUAGCCCCUGGACACCUGCUCUUUCAUGCCCACUGAGUACAGGGCAGAGGGUCUCAGCCCCAGAUGCACAGUGUGUGUGUGUCGUGGAGGGGGACAGAGAAACGGUCAAAAUCCUGAGACACA